GCUGCAACGACAGGGCAGGGUUAGAGGCCGCGCGCCGCCCGCCGCCGCCGCCCGCCGCCCUCCGGGCCCGCUCCUCCUCCCAGAAGCCUGCUCUGGUUACACCCGCUGAGGAAAGCCUGCAGCAGUGUUUUUCAAACUGUGGGAUGCAAACCGAUCAGACUGAAGAAUUGUGGGAGCAAUCCAUCGCGUGGCGACCAGCAAUCAAAAAAACAAAAAGAAGGAAAGAAAAGAAAGAGAAAUGGAGAGAAGUGCCAUUGCAAGGAUAAAUACUGUCCCAUGAAAGCUCUGUGCGAUGCAGGUGUCAGCGGGUCUCAGGGCCCUCUGAUUGGCCCCGGAGAUACAGACAUCUAAGCCAAAGCCAGAGGCAGUCCUGGAAGUGGAGGAAGGCUGGUGGUCAGGGAGUUUAAACAGGCGACAACUGUAAUAGAGGGCCUAUUUUCCCAAGCCUGCAGGAACGUGCUAGAGGCCUGAAGCUGCAUCUUAACACUUUUUUGAGACCUGAACAAGUGAUGUUUUACAGGUAUACAUAAUGUGCUAAGAUACAAUGAAACCCUACGUGGUAGACACGAACACACGAGUUGUGAUAGGGAUGCUCUCCAGGGGAUGGGAAGCUAGGCAGGAGCGCUUCCCAGGGAUUGUCACGGACUAGAGCUGCAGUUCCUAAGGAGAGCCGUCAGGAUGAAGCAGGGCUCGGCACAGGAGCGUACCCAGCUCCCCCUCACGUGGGGCGGGACCACAGGGGCUAAUCUGCAUGGAGCCUCAGUGGUUGCAAACACUUGCACCUGCGUAGCCUCCUGUGCGCCUCACACGACCCUCUCGGCUGGCCAGCGAGGCCUGGCAUCCCCUCUUUUCCAGGCCUGAAAGACGGAUCACUCACCCCAGUCACAUGGUCACACGGUCACCAUGCCUGGGCAAACACUUGAUACCCCUGGAGGCGUCCCCAUCUCUCCCCUUAGCGACACCCCUGCACGCAGAUGUCCUGCGCCCUGUCCACAGCUGGGUCCGCUCCCAGCUUUGCAUGCCCCCAAAUCAUGCCUCUAGGAACCCCGUGCCCUCCCCCCACCAAUCCUCCCAUCUUCCACGUCUUGCUGGCAGCUGACCUCCCCCUGCAAGUUUCCGUGCUCUCCUUCUAGUUCCUGUAGCACCAGCGCUGCCUGUGCCACCGCACAGUGGGGAGAAAGAGAACCAAGAGUGCUUGUUAAAUGAGCAGCUGCUGCUUACCUACCAGGCAACGUGAGGAACGCAGCAUAAGUGUAGCUGCUCGUCACUAAGGCUUAUUAGGGGGCCAGGUGCUGUGCCAAGCUCUUUAUUUGUUUCCACUCACAUGCACGUGUGUAUCAAAUUCAUACCACAGCAACCCCUCGGGGUUGGAACUAUUAUCAUUAUCCCCAUUUUAAGGAGAAGGAAAUGGAAAUACAGAGAGGGUAAGUCACUUGCCCAAGGACACACACACAGCUGGCAAGUGGCAAAGUUGGGAGUUGAACCCAGACAGCUGGAAGCUGUCUUAAAUCUUAACCACAUUAUUGAGCAUCUGUUCUGUCCUCUUUGCUAUGCUAGGUUUAUCUCAUUUAGAUGUGACUGUGCCUACUUUGGAGGAAAGGAAACUGAGGCUCAGAGAGGUAGAGGCUUAUCCAGAAUCACACAGCUCCAAAGCCUACAUUUAGAGCUGCACGCUGCCUCCCUGAAGCACUGUGCAUUGAUAGAGGGUAGCUUUAAGGUGAGCAGUGAAGGAGAGGGUCCCGUCUCCCAGGCUCAGUGCCGAACGUGACACAGGCCACAGGCUCUCACUCUGGCUCCCACCCCUUCCCAGCUCCCCCCGCCUGCCUCUCCCACCGGGAGGUCUGCACCCACCUCAGUGGCUGCUCUACAACCAAGAUGCCCUCUGGACUCUCACACCCACCCAUUCCAGUGCAGACCUCCCCAGCCACAUUCCCAUUCUCUUUUUAUUUUUAAAAUUUUUUUUGCUGAAGAAGAUUCGCCCUGAGCUAACAUCUGCUGCCAAUCUUCCUAUUAUUUUUGUAUGUGAGUCACUGCCACAGGUUGGCCACAGAUGAAUGGUGUAAGUCCACGUCCAGGAACCGAACCUGGACCACCGAAGUGGAGUGUGCUGAACUAAACCACUCGGCUGCCAGGGCUGGCCCUCACAUUCCCAUUCUCAUGGUCCUCGGGGCCUGUCACCCUGCCUCCUCUGCACAGCCCCUCCUAGGCUCUCCAGGAAUUUGGAAUCCCUGAUUGUGAGCUCCAGCUCUGCCAAUUGCACGUUUGUGCCUCUGGGAAGGGACCUCUGUGCCCUCGUUUCCUCAUCUGUAAAGCGGAGCAUUAGUUCCCAGGCUCACAGAGAGGAUGAAAGGAUAUGGCAGGUGCCAGGGCCUCAGCCAGGGCACCGUAUGCAGUGGGAGCUCAGGAAAUGCUGGUCCCCACUCAUGGCAUAUUGGCUGCACCUGGGGCACCAUGCACCUGGGCGCACUCACUGAGUGCCACCCUGACCAGACGUGCUCCCUUCCUCCACUCAGACAAACGUGGAGAGGAUUUUCAACUUCAUUCAUUUAACAAUGAAUGCUUACAAGGGGACUGUGCACUUCUUUUUUUUUUUUUUUUUUUUU